GAGAAUUGGAACUAUUUCAGAGUCAGAGCAGGAUAGUGGCGGCGGCAAACUUUGCCUGGUAGUUUUUACUGAUUGGGGUGCUGGCGCGCGCCUUUUUCUCGGCCAGAAUCCAGUUAUUGGGAUAGUCUUGGCUUCUACCUCAGCCCCACUUCUGUGGUCGUAAUAUUAGUUUAGCUUGGGUUUGCCGUGAAGUAAGAAGACUGACUUCCGCAAACGUACGGAACGACUGGGUGUAGGUGCCAGGGCAUGGACGUGAAGCUGGAGCCGCGAAAUGAGUUAGUUGUGGGCCGCUGGCCUCAAGGAGCGAACGUCAGCGCGAAGAGGAGAAGCUUGUGCAUACGCUCUGAUAAGGGUUUUAAUAGAGAGAUGGAAUCUCGCUGUGUCACCCAGGCUGGAAUGCAGUGACUCGAUCAUAACUCACUAUGACCUCGAACUCCCAGGCUAAAGCAGUCCUCAAGCAAUCCUUCCACCUCAGCCUUCUGAGUAGCUGGGAGUAGCUGAUUAACUAAUGUGUGCCACCACGCCCAGCUAAUUUGUGUAUGUGUGUGCACACGUGUAGAGCUAGGGGUCUUGCUAUGUUGCUCAGGCUAGUCUUGAACUCCUGGCCUCAAGCAGUCUUCUUGCCUUGACCUCUCAAACCAGUGGGACUGUAGGUGUGAGCCAUUGCUCCUGGCUGAGCACUGUUUUUUUUUAGGACAGACUGUAUUCAUUGUUGCAAUCUUCAGCUUUUGGAACAUCGUCUAGGACAGAGAAGCUGCACAAUAUGUAUUUAUCGAAUGAGUGAAUGAUACUUUUGGGAGAGAAGACAGUGGGUUGGAGAAAUAUUUUGGAAGAAUUGGAAAUUUUAGGUGGACCUUGAAGAAAGGGUAAAAUUCAAUUAGGACACAAGCAGUGAUCAAAAGCAUUGAGUUGGGAACAAAGUGGUAGGAUGUGGGAGUUAGUAUGUAGUAAAAACAACUAAAAUAUAGAAAGAGAUUAUGUGUUUAAUAGAAAUAGGAUUGACUAAAGUGAAUCCACGUUGUAUCUGUAAGAGGUCCAUCGUUGAACUUUAUUUUUUUUUGUUUUGUUUUUGAGACAGGGUCUCACUCUGUUAUCUAGGCUGGAGUGUGGUGGCACAAUCUCAGCUCACUGCAGCCUCAGCCUCCCAGGUUCAAGUGAUUCUCCUGCUUCAGCCUCCCAUGUAGGGAUUACAGGCCUGCACCACCACACCUGGCUAAUUUUUGUAUUUUUAGUACAGACAGGAUUUCACCAUGUUGGCCAGGCUGGUCUCGAACUCCUGACUUCAAGUGAUCCACCCGCCUCGGCCUUCCAGAGUGCUGGGAUUACAGGCCUGAGCCACUGCACCCAGCCACCUGUAUUUAUUUUUGAGACAGGGUCUUGUUCUGUCGCCUUGGCUGGAGUGCAGUGGUGCAAUCAUGGCUCACUGCAGCCUUGACUUCCCAGGCUCAAUGAAUAGCUGGGACUACAGGUGUGCACCACCAUACCCGGCUAAUUUUUGUAUUUCUUGUAGAGAUGGUGUUUCGCCAUCUUGCCCAAGCUGGUCUCAAACUCCUGGCCUCAAGUGAUCCACCUGUCUAGGCCUCCUACAGUGCUGGGAUUACAGGGUUGAGCCACCACACCCAGCCUCAUGGUUGAACUUUAGGAGAGCUGUACAUCUCCUCCUUAUAAUACAUGCAAAACUUCAUGUGUCCAUUUUUUUCUGAGUUGAAGUUUCAUAGUUUUCAUCCAAUUCUCAAAGGUGUUUAUAAACCAAUAAAGGUUAAGAAUCAUGUGCAUUUGAAAGACUAAUAGAAAGGCUUAAGCUUAAUGCUGUAGCAAAUUAGUCUUCAAAAGUUUUCUACCAUAGCAUUCAUUAGGAACAGAAGAGGGGGAAUGAGACCCUAAGAUUUAGAGAUGAAGUCUGAAACUUAGGACUUUAUAUUUAUCUGAACAUCAUAUGUAAAUUUUACUAUUAUGGGACUGGUAUUAAUGCUUCCUUAUAAAAAUAUAUUUAGCCUCAUCAGUGAUCAGGGAACCAUAUUUGGGACCAGUCUGUUCAGUUGGCAAAAAUUAAAAAGGCCAUCAUAUCAGAAAGGAGAAGGUAAAAUGAUUUGUUCACAGACAACAUGAUCUUUUAUGUACAAAACCCUAAAGAUUCCACCCAAAAAACCCUGUUAGAACUAAAAAACAAAGUUGCAGGAUGCAAAACCACACAAAAUUUAGUUGCAUUUCGAUGUAAAAUUUAAAAAGGAAAUCUUAAAAAUUCCAUUUACAACAGCAUCAGAACUAAAAUACUUGUGAAUAAAUUUAACCAAAGAGGCAAGACUUGUACACUGACAACUACAAACAUUGCUGAAUGAAAUUAAAGAAUACACAAAUAAGUGGAAUGACGCACUGUGUUCAUAGAUUGAAACAGUUAAUAUUAAGAUGUUGAUACUACUCAAAGUGAUCUACAGAUUCAUUAUGUAAUCCCUGUCAAAAUCCCAGUGACAUUUUUUCAGAAAUAGAAAAAUUCAUCCUAAAAUGUAUAUGAAAACUCAGAGUACCCCAAAUAGCCAAACAAUUUUGCAAGAGAACAAAGUUGAAGGUCUCAUGCUUCCUGAUUUCAAAAUUUAACUAUAAAGCUACAGUAAUCAAAACACUGUAGUCCUAGCAUAAAGACAGACAUAUAGAAUAAAGAACCCAGAACUAAACCCUCACAUAUAUGGUCAAUUGAUUUUUGACAAGGUUGUCAAGACCAGUCAAUCAAUGGAGAAAGGAUAUUCAGUUUUCUCCAUUUUUACAUGUGGAUAUCCAGUUUUCCCAACACCAUGUAUUUAAAAGAUAAAUAACCUAAAUGAUAAAUCUAAAUGUCUAAAAAAUAAACAAUCUAAAAA